AGUGACAUCCUCAGAGUGAUCUAAUGAGGCAAAGCUAAAUUGUGUCUGUCGCCUGUUAAAAACAUGUCCCGGGAAGGAAAACUGCAGCAGGUAUCUCUAAAUGUUUUCCUAUAGAUGUUCCUGACCUGUCUUGGGGGCACUGGACAAGGAGAUUGGACCUGUCACAUCUCAGGGGUAUUUAGUUUUACCCGAGCUGAUAGCAGAUCCUGUGUCCCCAAGUGUUUCACCCAGGACCUACAGAAAUCCACUUGUUGCUUCUGGGGGAGGAUGGGGGGAACCGGUGGGGAGCCAGGACUUCCAUCUGAGCUUUAACCCCCACAGAGCCAGUGCCCAGAGCUGCUGUGAUAAAGGAGGUUUGCAAGGCAAAGGUCUGUCCACAGAUAACGUCAUGUAAAUGCUUCCCUUGGCAGUGGAGGGCAAUUCCAUCAGCAGACACUGACUCCAGAGCACUUGGAACUCUCCUUUCCUCUCCAAUAUAAAAAUCAGAAGGGGGAAUCUCUGCUGGAGCAGUUUGGGAAGGAGUGCAGCCCAUGGGAAGGAGCCACGCCGGAGCAGUUUGCAAAAGGCUGUAUUCCUGGGGAACAGAUCCAUGCUGGAGAAAGGGAAGAGCACGAACAGGAAGGAGCAGCAGAGGCAAAGUGUUCUGAACUGACCCCCAGCCCUGUUCCCCAGCCCUGCGUGCCACUCAGUGAGGGAGGACAUAGAGGGAUGGGUAAUGAUGGAGUGAAGUGGAGCCUGGGAAGCAGGUGGGGGUGGUGGCUUAGAUGUGUCUCUUUUAACCAUCUCAAAUCUAUUUGACUUGGCAAUCAAUUAAGUUGUCACCUGGUAUUACUUUGGGGUUUUUUCAGUGCUUGUUCCUGACAGCAAAUGCUGAUGACGUUCCACCAAGCACGGGAUGUGGGGUAGGAUCUGCUGGAGGGGUGGCUGGUGCCACCAGGGCCCUGAGCUGUGGCUGCACAAGGGCUGGCAGGUGGCAGCAGGUGCCAGGGGAGGAGGACUUGGCCAUGGGCAGUGGCUGCUGCCACACUGCCAGGUCCUGUUGCCAAAACCUCUGCAGGCUCAUCACGUUCUGUAACGUGUUUUUUCUCUUGAAACUUUUUUUCUAUCCAAAUAAAAUCACUGAUGUUGCC